rnacentral:snoRNA from 1 species
AAUACAUGAUGAGGGCAAUCACGUUCAUACUCCUUAAAACGUUCCCAAGCUUCAUUGAUGAGGAC